rnacentral:tRNA from 1 species
ACUAUUUUGGCGGAUUAGCGCACGAGGUUUAGGGCUUUGGUAAGGUUAGGCCAAAUAGUU